GCUCUCGUAGCCCAAUUGGCAGAGGCGCCAGAUUUAGGAUCUGGUCAGUGCGAGUUCGAAUCCCGCCGAGAGCA
rnacentral:tRNA from 1 species